GGUCGCUUAACUCAGUUGGUUAGAGUGUCGUACUAAUACCCGCCGGUCUUCCGGUGAUCUGAAAUGCGAAAGUCGCCAGUUCGAUCCUGGUAGUGACCA